UACGGGGGGAGCAAGCGUUGUUCGGAUUACUGGGCGUAAAGGGCGCGUAGGCGGCGCAACAAGUCACUUGUGAAAUCUCCGGGCUUAACUCGGAACGGCCAAGUGAUACUGUCACGCUAGAGUGCAGAAAGGGCAAUCGGAAUUCUUGGUGUAGCGGUGAAAUGCGUCAGAUAUCGGGAGGAACACCAAUGGCGAAGGCAGAUCUCUGGCCGUAACUGACGCUGAGGAGCGAAAGCAUGGGAGCGAACAGG
rnacentral:rRNA from 1 species